rnacentral:rRNA from 1 species
CUAAGCAUAUCAAUAAGCGGAGGAAAAGAAACCAACAGGGAUUGCCCUAGUAACGGCGAGUGAAGCGGCAACAGCUCAAAUUUGAAAUCUGGCCUUGGCCCGGGUUGAAAUUUGCAUAGGAUGUGUCUGGCGCGGUGCCUUCCGAGUUCCCUGGAACGGGACGCCGAAGAGGGUGAGAGCCCCGUAUGGUCGGACACCAAGCCUGUGUGAAACUCCUUCAACCAGUCGAGUAGUUUGGGAAUGCUGGUCUGAAUGGGAGGUAAAUCUCUUCUAUUGCUAAAUACCGGCCAGAGACCCAUAGCGCACAAGUAGAGUGAUCGAAAGAUGAAAAGCACCUUGAAAAGGGGGUUAAAUAGUACGUGAAAUUGUUGAAAGGGAAGCACUUAUGACCAGACUUGGGCCGGGCGGCUCAUCAGGGGUUCUCCCCUGUGCACUCCGCCCGGCACAGGCCAGCAUGGGUUCUCGUGGGGGGAUAAGACCGUCAGGAAAGUAGCACCCUCCGGGGUGUGUUAUAGCCUGGCGGACGAUACCCUCGUGGGGACCGAGGUUCGCGCUCCGCAAGGAUGCUGGCGUAAUGGUCAUCAGUGACCCGUCUUGAAACACGGACCAAGGAGUCGUCCAUUAGAGCGAGCGUUUGGGUGUAAAACCCGCACGCGUAAUGAAAGUGAACGCAGGUGAGAGCUUCGGCGCAUCAUCGACCGAUCCUGAUGUUCUCGGAAGGAUUUGAGUAAGAGUUUUAACGGACGGACCCGAAAGACAGUGAACUAUGCUUGUAUAGGGUGAAGCCAGAGGAAACUCUGGUGGAGGCUCGCAGCGGUUCUGACGUGCAAAUCGAUCGUCAAAUAUGAGCAUGGGGGCGAAAGACUAAUCGAACUGUCUAGUAGCUGGUUACUGCCGAA